UACGUAGGGGGCAAGCGUUAUCCGGAUUUACUGGGUGUAAAGGGAGCGUAGACGGUUGCGCAAGUCUGGAGUGAAAGGCGGGGGCCCAACCCCCGGACUGCUCUGGAAACUGUGUGACUGGAGUGCAGGAGAGGUAAGUGGAAUUCCUAGUGUAGCGGUGAAAUGCGUAGAUAUUAGGAGGAACACCAGUGGCGAAGGCGGCUUACUGGACUGUAACUGACGUUGAGGCUCGAAAGCGUG
rnacentral:rRNA from 1 species